AUGAAGUUCGCACUCCAUUUUUGGGGUCUUUUCUGUUGUCUGUAUGCACUAAGUAAGAAUAUCUAUGCAAGGCCCGAUACAGUGAGCGUUGGAGCUCUUUUCACAUUCAAUUCCACGAUAGGGAGAGCUGCCAAGAUUGCCAUUUCUGCUGCUGUCAAUGAGAUCAACACCGAUUCAAGCAUCCUUCCAGGCACAAACCUGGUUGUCGAGAUGCAAGAUUCCAAUUGCAGUGGCUUCGUUGGCAUUGUGCAAGCAUUGCAAUUCAUGGAGAAAGAUACAGUUGCAAUCAUCGGCCCACAAUCUUCUGUCAUCGCGCAUGUUAUUUCUCAUGUUGCAAAUGAACUUCAAGUGCCUAUGCUGUCCUUCGGUGCAACUGAUCCAACUCUCACGUCACUUCAGUUUCCUUUCUUGGUGAGGACAACCCGUAGUGAUCAUUUUCAAAUGGCUGCUGUUGCUGACUUGGUCGACUACUAUGGGUGGAAGCAAGUGACAGCUAUAUAUAUCGAUGAUGAUUAUGGAAGAAACGGCAUGGCCUCUUUAGGUGAUGAACUUGUCAAGAGGCGGGCUAAGAUCUCGUUUAAAGCUGCAGUUAGGCCAGGAGCAAAAAAGAGUGAAAUGGCUAGUGCGCUAGUCAGGGUUGCAUUGAUGGAAUCUCGAGUGGUAGUUCUGCAUGCAAAUCCUGACUCUGGGCUUGCACUUCUCUCGCUGGCACGCAAUCUCGGCAUGACAUCAAGCGGGUAUGUGUGGAUUGCAACAGAUUGGCUCAGUUCAUUCCUGGAUUCAUCGCCACGUCUCGACAUCGGAUUACUGAGCACAAUGCAGGGUUUUCUCACAUUACGCCAGCACACAGAAAAUACAAGAAGGAAGAGUAUGCUAGCUUCAAAAUGGAGUGCACUGGUGAAGAAAGAUACUGUUGACGACAAGUUCUUGAUUAAUUCGUAUGGCUUUUAUGCGUAUGAUUCUGUCUGGAUCCUUGCUUAUGCGCUGGACGCAUAUUUCAGUAGAGGUGGAAACAUUUCUUUCUCAAAUGACACCAAGCUACAUGAAGUUGGGGCAGGGGGUCUGCAAUUGAAAGCUAUGACUGUCUUUGAUGGGGGGAGGCUGUUACUAGAAAGAAUCCAGCAAGUGAAUUUCACGGGUGCAACUGGCCCUGUAAAAUUUGAUACAGAUGGUAAUCUUAUCCGUCCUGCGUACGACAUCGUUAACAUAGUAGGAUCUGGUCUGCGGACAGUUGGUUACUGGUCCAACUAUUCUGGCCUGUCCACCUCGUUGCCUGAGACUCUUUACAUGAAACCAGCAAAACGUGUUAGGGGAGAUCAGAAACUCCACACUGUGAUAUGGCCAGGUGAGACUACAGUAAGGCCACGUGGAUGGGUGUUUCCCAACAAUGGAAUUGAGCUGAAAAUUGGAGUUCCCAAUAGGGCAAGUUACCGUCAAUUUGUGUCAGUUGACAAUAACAGCGGAACGGUGCGUGGUUUCUGUAUUGAUGUGUUUGUUGCUGCAGCCAACUUGUUACAGUAUCCAGUUCCAUUUAAGUUUGUUCCGUUUGGGGAUGGUAGUCAGAAUCCAAGCUAUCCAGACCUUAUCAACAAUAUUCUAACGAAUGACUUCGAUGCUGUGGUAGGUGAUAUAGCUAUCGUCACAAAUCGGACAAGGGUUGUUGACUUCACUCAGCCAUACGUUGAGUCGGGGCUUGUGGUACUUACCUCUGUUAAGAAGCAAAGCUCGAGUGGAUGGGCCUUUUUGCAGCCAUUCACCAUCAAAAUGUGGUGCAUCACAGGGCUGUUCUUUCUUGUCAUAGGAACGGUGAUUUGGCUGCUUGAGCACAGAAUCAAUGAUGAGUUCCGCGGGCCUCCAGCGAAACAGGUUAUCACUGUAUUCUGGUUCAGUUUCUCAACUCUGUUCUUCGCGCACAGAGAGGACACGAGAAGCACCCUCGGCCGCUUCGUGAUCAUCAUAUGGCUCUUCGUGGUUCUGAUCAUCCAGUCCAGCUACACUGCCAGCUUGACCUCCAUACUCACCGUGCAGCAGCUCAUAUCUCCAAUCACAGGGAUCGAUAGCUUGGUCGCCAGCGACGAGCCCAUCGGGUUUCAAGUCGGCUCCUUUGCGGAAAGUUACCUCGUGAACGAGCUCGGUGUCUCGAGACACAGGCUUAAAUCCCUCGGUACUCCGGACGAGUAUAAGCAAGCGCUUGAGCUUGGCCCUGCCAAUGGAGGCGUCGCUGGCAUCGUUGACGAGCGUCCCUAUGUUGAGAUCUUCUUGCUCCUGCAUCCCAAAUUCGCAGUCGUGGGCUCGGAGUUCACCAAAAGUGGCUGGGGCUUCGCGUUCCCGAGGGACUCGCCGCUGGCGGUGGACCUGUCGACGUCCAUCCUGGAGCUGUCGGAGAACGGCGACCUCCAGCGGAUCCACGACAAGUGGCUGGCGAACAACGUGGCGGGGUCCAUGUCGCAGAACAACGAGCUGGAGUCGGACCGGCUGCAGGUGUACAGCUUCUCAGGGCUGUUCCUCAUCUGUGGCGUGGCGUGCCUCAUCGCCCUCGCCAUACACGCCGGCAUCCUCUUCCACAAGUACUGUGAGCAACGGCGGCAGGUGUCGGCCGACGGCAGCUCCCGCUCCAGCCGCAGCAGUUUCCGCGCGUUCCUGUCGUUCGCCGACCGACGGGAGAUGGACGCCCAUAUAGCGUCCAAGGACAAGGCGGCCGGAGACCACUCCAUUAGCGCGGCGUCGAGUAGCAGCGUCAGCACUGCCACGUCGUGCUAG
rnacentral:rRNA from 1 species